rnacentral:rRNA from 1 species
GACGAACCGUGCGAACGUUGUUCGGAUUCACUGGGCUUAAAGGGCGCGUAGGCGGACGGUCAAGUCGGGGGUGAAAUCUUUCAGCUUAACUGAAAAGUGCCUCCGAUACUGAUCGUCUCGAGGGAGGUAGGGGCAUGUGGAACUUCCGGUGGAGCGGUGAAAUGCGUAGAUAUCGGAAGGAACGCCGGUGGCGAAAGCGACGUGCUGGACCUCUUCUGACGCUGAGGCGCGAAAGCCAGGGGAGCAAACGGG